GACGACGCUGGCGGCGUGGAUUAGGCAUGCAAGUCGAACGGUAUCAUCCUUCGGGGGUGAGAGAGUGGCGAACUGGUGAGUAACACGUAGGUUAUCUACCUCAAGACGGGGACAACCCAGGGAAACUUGGGCUAAUACCGGAUGUGAGCAACUUUUAGUUGUUUGAAAGGUGGCGUAAGCUGUCGCUUGGGGAUGAGCCUGCGUCCUAUUAGUUAGUUGGUGAGGUAACGGCUCACCUAGGCAAUGAUAGGUAGGCGGCCUUAACGGGUGGUCGCCCACACUGGGAUUGAGAUACGGCCCAGACUCCUACGGGAGGCAGCAGUCGAGAAUAGUCUACAAUGGUCGGAAGACUGAUAGUGCGACGCCGCGUGAACGAUGAAUCCCUUCGGGGUGUAAAGUUCUUUUAUAUGUGAGCAGUGCUUCUUAUAUUAACAGUAUGGGGAGAGAGAUAUUAGCAUAUGAAUAAGCAACGGCUAACUCCGUG
rnacentral:rRNA from 1 species